rnacentral:tRNA from 1 species
UAAAUGUACUCACCAAUUCAAAUAUUUCAUCGAAUCGUUGAUAAAUGGAUUCAAUUUGUCCUGUCCCUAAACC